CUCAUAUGUCAGUCAGUAUUCUGCGCUGCUCACUGGCAGUCAUUUCAGUGACUUCAUAUUGGGUCCUGUCUGCAGUUAUUUCAACUGUAUUUAUUUGAACUUGCAUGUGAUUCUCUUGUUUUGGUCACCACAUUGCUGCAAAAUGCUUCCUGUGUGGACACGGCUUUGAAGACAGAAAACACAAAUACAGAUAGCUGAAGACCCAACCAACGAGUGCUUGUACCUGUUAUACAUUUCUGAAGUCUGCUUGAAGUUCACCACCUGGGACACACGCGUAGUUGGUGGACUGCAAUGUAAAUUCUCCACAAAUGGUCUAGACCUUCUCUCACAGUAGCUGAUGAUGAAAUUUAUCUCAAUCAAAUCCUAGCAGACCCGAGCAAACUCAUAGAUGUGGAAAAUACAAACAAGGCUUAAGAUGAGGCCAUUACAAUUAUCUCUGAACUAAUAAAGAUUAAUAAUUUUUUGAAUAACGAA